UACAGAGGUCUCAAGCGUUGUUCGGAUUCAUUGGGCGUAAAGGGUGCGUAGGCGGCGCGGUAAGUCGGGUGUGAAAUCUCCGAGCUUAACUUGGAAACUGCCAUUGAUACUAUCAAUCUUGAAUACUGUGGAGGUCAGCGGAAUAUGUCAUGUAGCGGUGAAAUGCUUAGAUAUGACAUAGAACACCAAUUGCGAAGGCAGCUGGCUACACAAUUAUUGACACUGAGGCACGAAAGCGUGGGGAUCAAACAGG
rnacentral:rRNA from 1 species